GGGAGUUGAACUUCGCCUAAUCAUGUUUUCUAUUUAUUGGUGAUGAUAGGGGUGUGAGGGGGUUCUCCGCCAGGCGAUUGUGCUAUUCUUGAAGCUCGAUGACUGCAUUUCUUGCGUUUUCUGAAGCAGAUUCGUAAAAGAAUCGCACUAACAUUUCUGACAAUUCCCUAUUUCGCCAAGGCAAUCCUUUAAAUUGAAAGGGCACCUUUGCUCCCCUUGCCCCUCCUGGUAAAGGGCAACGGGGGCGGCUGCCCC